rnacentral:rRNA from 1 species
UGAAUACGAGAUGCUACGGCGUCGAAGCAGUCUAUGUCAUACUUCCAAGAAAAGCUUGCACUGUCAUAAACAAUAAUGCCUGUACCAUAACCGACACAGGUGGGUAGGUAGAGUAUACUAAGGGGCGCGAGAUAACUCUCUCUAAGGAACUCGGCAAAAUGACUCCGUAACUUCGGGAGAAGGAGUGCCUUAUUUAUAAGGUUGCAAUAACAAGAUCCAAGCAACUGUUUACCAAAAACACAGGUCUCCGCUAAGUCGUAAGACGACGUAUGGGGGCUGACGCCUGCCCAGUGCCAGAAGGUUAAAGAAGUUGGUUAGCAUCCGCGAAGCUGAUAACUGAAGCCCUGGUGAACGGCGGCCGUAACUAUAACGGUCCUAAGGUAGCGAAAUUCCUUGUCGGGUAAGUUCCGACCCGCACGAAAGGCGUAAUGAUUUGGAUACUGUCUCGGAGAGGGGCUCGGUGAAAUAGACUUGUCUGUGAAGAUGCGGACUACCUGCACCAGGACAGAAAGACCCUAUGAAGCUUUACUGUAACCUGAAAUUGAAAUUGGACUUUACUUGCGCAGUAUAGGUGGGAGGCGUUGAGAAUAUUCUUGCGGGAUUAUUGGAGCCAUCAGUGAGAUACCACUCUUGUAAUGUUAGAUUUCUAACUUUGUAUCAUUAUCUGGUCAAAGAACAGUUUCAGGCGGGCAGUUUGACUGGGGCGGUCGCCUCCUAAACGGUAACGGAGGCGCACAAAGGUUUCCUCUGAACGGGUAGAAAUCGUAUCUAGAGUGUAAAGGCAUAAGGAAGCUUGACUGUGAGACCUACAAGUCGAGCAGGGACGAAAGUCGGUCUUAGUGAUCUGACGGUGCUGAGUGGAAAGGCCGUCACUCAACGGAUAAAAGUUACUCUAGGAUAACAGGCUGAUCUCCCCCAAGAGUUCACAUCGACGGGGAGGUUUGGCACCUCGAUGUCGGCUCAUCGCAUCCUGGGGCGGUAGUACGUCCCAAGGGUUGGGCUGUUCGCCCAUGAAAGCGGUACGCGAGCUGGGUUCAGAACGUCGUGAGACAGUUCGGUCCAUAUCCGGUGUAGGCGUUAGAAUAUUGAGAGGAGCCUUCUUUAGUACGAGAGGACCGAGAAGGACAUACCUCUGGUGUACCAGUUAUCGUGCCAACGGUAAACGCUGGGUAGCUAUGUGUGGAGUGGAUAACCGCUGAAAGCAUCUAAGUGGGAAGCCCACCUCAAGAUAAGUAUUCGC